rnacentral:lncRNA from 1 species
GGGAGGUUGACAGACACAGACCCGGGGACAGCGAGACGCACGGAAGCCGGGAUGGUGCGUCUCGGUCGGAUGCAGACUCGGGCUUGGUCCCCGGGGAGAAGAAGGAAGCAGGAGCAGGGAGAACCAGGACAGGGGGACAGACAGACGCAGAGACCCGAGCUGCGCGGGCCACGGCAGAGGCCAGGCAGGCCGGGAUGGAAGAAGGAAGAGGGAAGAAGGGAGAACCGGGACAGGGGGACAGACAGACACAGAGACCCGAGCUGCGCGGGCCACGGCAGAGGCCAGGCAGGCCGGGAUGGAAGAAGGAAGCAGGAGAAGGGAGGAGAAGGAAGGAGAAGGGAGAACCGGGGGCUGCGGGACUCGUGGAAGCCGGGAUGGGUCCCUCGAUGGCGGACGCCGACGCCAGGCAGCCCCGGGUGGAAGGGAGGAGGAGGAGGAGGAGGAGGAGGAGAGAGACUUAGAGUCAGACAGAGGGACAGGGAGAGAGACUUAGACACAGAGACAGAGAGACAGAGAGAGGCU